CCUACGGGAGGCAGCAGUGGGGAAUCUUGCGCAAUGGGCGAAAGCCUGACGCAGCAACGCCGCGUGCGGGAAGAAGGCCUUAGGGUUGUAAACCGCUUUCAGUAGGAACGAAAAUGACGGUACCUGCAGAAGAAGGUGCGGCCAACUACGUGCCAGCAGCCGCGGUGACACGUAGGCACCAAGCGUUGUCCGGAUUUAUUGGGCGUAAAGAGCUCGUAGGCGGUUCAGUAAGUCGGGUGUGAAAACUCUGGGCUUAACCCAGAGCCGCCACUCGAUACUGCUGUGACUUGAGUUCGGUAGGGGAGCAGGGAAUUCCUAGUGUAGCGGUGAAAUGCGCAGAUAUUAGGAGGAACACCGGUGGCGAAGGCGCUGCUCUGGGCCGAUACUGACGCUGAGGAGCGAAAGCGUGGGUAGCAAACAGGAUUAGAUACCCUGGUAGUCCACGCCGUAAACGUUGGGCACUAGGUGUGGGUUCCAACCAACGGAAUCCGCGCCGUCGCUAACGCAUUAAGUGCCCCGCCUGGGGAGUACGGCGGCAACGCUAAAACUCAAGGAAUUGACGG
rnacentral:rRNA from 1 species